CAAAACUAUAAGCAUUGCUCAUCCAAGUCUCUGUUGUGUUCUCCGGGUCACCAGCUAUAAUCUGGUUUCAACCAUGCCAAUAUAAGCAAACAGAAUUAUAAUAUUUACAUGUUUCAUCAGAUGAAAUCAAGUAACUUCGUCUCCAGAUUACAGAAUUAAACUAAAUGCUUUGCUAUGUAAAACCAAGGACCAGUGUGCUCUAGUAGAAAUGAUGGUUCAAAGCAACUGGAUUAUCUCAUAUAAACAAAAAAGGUCAGGAUGCUCAAUCAACGAGUGGUGAUAUUAGAGGUGUAAAGUCCAAGGCGCUUUUGUGAAGAUUAGACAGAACCUAAUUAGAUUUACACUUGUCUAGGAUAUAUCAAAUCAAAGUGAACAUCCAACAACUGCCUAGACAAACAGAAAAAGGUAAAGCAGAUAUGGCCAAAAGCAAAAUAAACUUGUUUUGUUCAAAACGAA